rnacentral:rRNA from 1 species
AGCACCGGCUAACUACGUGCCAGCAGCCGCGGUAAUACGUAGGGUGCAAGCGUUAUCCGGAAUUAUUGGGCGUAAAGGGCUCGUAGGCGGUUCGUCGCGUCCGGUGUGAAAGUCCAUCGCUUAACGGUGGAUCCGCGCCGGGUACGGGCGGGCUUGAGUGCGGUAGGGGAGACUGGAAUUCCCGGUGUAACGGUGGAAUGUGUAGAUAUCGGGAAGAACACCAAUGGCGAAGGCAGGUCUCUGGGCCGUCACUGACGCUGAGGAGCGAAAGCGUGGGGAGCGAACAGGAUUAGAUACCCUGGUAGUCCACGCCGUAAACGGUGGAUGCUGGAUGUGGGGACCAUUCCACGGUCUCCGUGUCGGAGCCAACGCGUUAAGCAUCCCGCCUGGGGAGUACGGCCGCAAGGCUAAAACUCAAAGAAAUUGACGGGGGCCCGCACAAGCGGCGGAGCAUGCGGAUUAAUUCGAUGCAACGCGAAGAACCUUACCUGGGCUUGACAUGUUCCCGACGGUCGUAGAGAUGCGGUUUCCCUUCGGGGCGGGUUCACAGGUGGUGCAUGGUCGUCGUCAGCUCGUGUCGUGAGAUGUUGGGUUAAGUCCCGCAACGAGCGCAACCCUCGCCCUGUGUUGCCAGCACGUCGUGGUGGGAACUCACGGGGGACCGCCGGGGUCAACUCGGAGGAAGGUGGGGAUGACGUCAGAUCAUCAUGCCCCUUACGUCCAGGGCUUCACGCAUGCUACAAUGGCCGGUACAACGGGAUGCGACACUGUGAGGUGGAGCGGAUCCCUUAAAACCGGUCUCAGUUCGGAUUGGAGUCUGCAACCCGACUCCAUGAAGGCGGAGUCGCUAGUAAUCGCGGAUCAGCAACGCCGCGGUGAAUGCGUUCCCGGGCCUUGUACACACCGCCCGUCAAGUCAUGAAAGUGGGUAGCACCCGAAGCCGGUGGCCCAACCUUUUUGGGGGGAGCCGUCUAAGGUGAGACUCGUGAUUGGGACUAAGUCGUAACAAGGUAGCCGUACCGGAAGGUGCGGCUG